AGGGGUGUGGUGCAGGGAUAACACACGUGCCUAGCAAUCACGUGACCUGAGUUGAAACCCCAGUACUCCUC
rnacentral:tRNA from 1 species